CCUGAACGCUGGCGGCGUGGCUAAGACAUGCAAGUCGCACGGACCCGCAAGGGUUAGUGGCGAACGGGUGAGUAAUGAAUCGCUAAUGUACCCCGGACUCUGGGAUAGCCGGCCGAAAGGCCGGGUAAUACCAGAUGAUAUAACCGCUCCGCAUGGAGUGGUUCUCAAAGGUCCGCCGGUCUGGGAGCAGGCGAUUUCGUAUCAGCUAGUUGGUGAGGUAACGGCUCACCAAGGCGACGACGCGUAGCCGGACUGAGAGGUUGGCCGGCCACAUUGGGACUGAGACACUGCCCAGACUCCUACGGGGGCUGCAGUAACGAAUCUUCCGCAAUGUACGCAAGUAUGACGGAGCGACGCCGCGUGUAGGAUGAAGCCCGUUCGGGU
rnacentral:rRNA from 1 species